AAUCGACAACAGUAUGCGAUCACAAUACCAGCAUAGAUCCACAUCAUUGAAGGGUCUACAUUUUGGUCUACAUUUACUUUUUCUUAGCCAACACAACACACCAAGUGAAAACCGCAUCAGCAUCUCGCUUCUGAGUUUCUCAGCAAGGAAGCCAGUGUCUUCAAGCAGAGAGAAGUACGGAGUUUCCUUCACCCAUUCCCUUUGGUGAGGGAGAUAAGUAACAACCCAGCAGAGGACACAGACCAUAUAGUACAUGAACACAGUGACGGUUUCUGCUGCUGUAAACCAAAAGAGUGAUAAUUAAUGUCUCCUGCUGUUUAUGCCUGCUGACAUCUACAACGAUGAGCUGUUAUUAUUCUGUCUGCUAAUACUUGGAAAGGAUACCACUCGGAUGACUAAUCCAGAAUGCAGCAGGAGUUAAGAUUUUGUGGAAAAGAAGUCCCACGUCUGUAAAAAUUCUGUCAAGCUGCAAUUCUGAGUGUCCAGAUGAUUUCUUCACGGGGACACACUUGUCAAACAAAUGUAAUUUUUUCACUGCAACUCUCAUGUUUUCUUGUGCAAGUCCAGAUGGUAUGUGCCACUAGAGAGUUCCUAACACCUGGGAUUCUUCUCUCAUAUCGUGUGUGUCUUUAAAGCCAUACUGCUCCAAGCAGAUGUUACAGAAGCCACCCAUCCGUCAGUCCUCCUAUUGCAGGUAGCGCAGGAUCCCUCUGUCCCCCUCACAAAAAGUUUCUUUACCAUUUCACAUUGCCUUCACCUCCUCCAGAAAAAAAUGUCUGUCCACUACUGCUUGACAGCCCGUUGCAAUCAAUACCUAGUGCUAAUCAAGCGCCGGUCACUAGCAGAAAGUUGCACAAAUGGUUCUUGCUGAUUAAAAGCCGUAAGUAAAAAGCAACAAUGCUUGAAUAUUUCAAAUACAUUUUAAUUCUGGGCUACGAGACUUUCCAGUCUGGUGGUCUGUGGAGCCUUCUGACUUCUCCUUGGAUAUAAACAUUGCUGAAAAAGAAUUCAACAUCCUCCUGACAUCCAACAGAGGAAAAGGCAACAUUUUCUUGUGGAAAGCCAUGAAUGACAGAAGCUGAAACUUUAGUAUCUUUGAUCAUUCUAUAAACUUUCCAAGAAAACCUCUUAACUAGAUUGAAAUGUAGCAAAGGGAUGUUGAAAUGUUGAAUGUACGUGGGAGGGAUCUACGCUGUACAAAGCGGGAGACCAGGAAACAGUGUUGUUCACAGUGUAAAAAUAAUGAAAGUAAGUGAUUUCUUGCAAUCAGUGGGGAAUUGAUUCAAAGGAAAAAAAAGAGCUUGAGAGCUUGAGAGCAAGUCUCAUUGAAAGGAUGAUUUUCAAUCCACACAUCUUGAAUAUUUCACUUGCACUUCAAUUUUAGAUGCCUGUUGAGUCACUAUUUCCAAAGUAACGGCCUAAGUCCUUUAAGAAGUGAAGGGCUGGAGGUCUUCACAAGCACCUUCACCUCUGUACCAGUAUCUUAGUGAGCCAAUCUUCUUAGAAUAAGCGUUUAAAUGCUAAGAAAUGAUGCCCACAAUUGCAGACGGUGUUGUAACCAGAUUCACAGACCAUAGUGGUGUGUUUUCUUUUUUUCUCAGUGCAUUUACUUAAACUAUGAUUGUUGUAAUCUGAAAUAGUAUUUAAGUAUUCUGUUUAUUGUAUCUUUUAUGUAGGUGAUCCUACUUGCAGUCUGUAUGUGUUAGCGAUGCUCAAAAUAUAAUACACUGCUACUGCAGAUCAAAG
ensembl:lncRNA